rnacentral:tRNA from 1 species
AGCUCGGUGGCGCAGCGGAAGCGCGCGGGGCUCAUAACCCUGAGGACGUAAGAUCGAAACUUACUCGAGCUA